GGGCUCGUAGCGCAGCAUGGAUAGCGCGGCAGCCUCCUAAGCUGUAGAAGAUCAUUAUUGAUCUUUGGCUAAAGGUCGAGGGUUCAAAUCCCUCCGAGCCCG
rnacentral:tRNA from 1 species